rnacentral:rRNA from 1 species
AUUGGACGCUGGCGGCAGGCCUAACACAUGCCAGUCGAGCGGAUGAAGGGAGCUUGCUCCUGGAUUCAGCGGCGGACGGGUGAGUAAUGCCUAGGAAUCUGCCUGGUAGUGGGGGAUAACGUCCGGAAACGGGCGCUAAUACCGCAUACGUCCUGAGGGAGAAAGUGGGGGAUCUUCGGACCUCACGCUAUCAGAUGAGCCUAGGUCGGAUUAGCUAGUUGGUGGGGUAAAGGCCUACCAAGGCGCCGUUCCGUAACUGGUCUGAGAGGAUGAUCAGUCACAAUAGAACUGAGACACGGUCCGGACUCGUACGGGAGGCAGCAGUGGGGAAUAUUGGACAAUGGGCGAAAGCCUGAUCCAGCCAUGCCGCGUGUGUGAAGAAGGUCUUCGGAUUGUAAAGCACUUUAAGUUGGGAGGAAGGGCAGUAAGUUAAUACCUUGCUGUUUUGACGUUACCAACAGAAUAAGCACCGGCUAACUUCGUG